UACAGAGGUGCCAAGCGUUAGGCGGAAUCACUGGGCUUAAAGCGUGUGUAGGCGGAUUGUUAAGUCCCUUGUGAAAUCCCACGGCUCAACCGUGGAACUGCUGGGUAUACUGGCGAUCUUGAGCCACCUAGGGGCGAGCGGAACAAGCGGUGGAGCGGUGAAAUGCGUAGAUAUCGCUUGGAACGCCAACGGUGAAAACAGCUCGCUGGGGGUGUGCUGACGCUGAGACACGAAAGCCAGGGGAGCGAACGGG
rnacentral:rRNA from 1 species